AUUUAUAUAGUUUAAAUAAAACCUUACACUUUCAAUGUAAAAAUAAAAAAUUUUUUUUUAUAAAUA
rnacentral:tRNA from 1 species